UACGUAGGGUGCAAGCGUUGUCCGGAAUUAUUGGGCGUAAAGAGCUCGUAGGCGGCCACUCAAGUCGAAUGUGAAACCUCGAGGCUUAACCUCGAGCCUGCAUUCGAUACUGUUCGACUCGAAGGCAGGAGAGGGAAGUGGAAUUCCGGGUGUAGUGGUGAAAUGCGUAGAUAUCCGGAGGAACACCAGUGGCGAAGGCGACUUUCUGGCCUGUUCUUGACGCUGAGGCGCGAAAGCUAGGGGAGCAAACGGG
rnacentral:rRNA from 1 species